rnacentral:rRNA from 1 species
GAUGAACGCUGGCGGCGUGCCUAAUACAUGCAAGUCGAGCGAACAGACGAGGAGCUUUCUCCUGUGACGUUUGCGACGGACGGGGCAGUAACACGUGGAUAACCUAGCUAGAAGACUGGGAUAACUUCGGGAAUCCGGAGCUAAUACGGGAUAAUAUAUUUAACGGCAUUGUUCAAGAGUAAAAGAGGUUUUUGCAGGCACUAAUAGAUGGAUCCGCGCCUCAUUAUCUAGAUGGUAAGGUAACGGUUUACCAAGGCAACGAUGCGUAGCCGAACUGAGAGGGUGAUCAGCAACCCUGGAACUGAGACACGGUCCAGACUCCUACGGGAGGCAGCAGUCGGGAAUCUUCCGCAAUGGGCGAAAGCGUAACGGAGCAACGCCGCGUGAGUGAUGAAGGUCUUCGGAUCGUAAAAGUCUGUUAUUAGGGAAGAACAAAUGUGUAAGUUACUAUGCACGUCUUGACGGUACCUAAUCAGAAAGCCACGGCUAACUCCGUG